rnacentral:rRNA from 1 species
UACGGAGGGUGCAAGCGUUGUUCGGAAUUACUGGGCGUAAAGCGCGCGUAGGCGGUAAUUUAAGUCAGAUGUGAAAGUCCAUGGCUCAACCAUGGAAGUGCAUUUGAAACUGGGUUACUUGAGUACUGGAGGGGGUAGUGGAAUUCCCGGUGUAGAGGUGAAAUUCGUAGAUAUCGGGAGGAAUACCGGUGGCGAAGGCGACUACCUGGCCAGAUACUGACGCUGAGGUGCGAAAGCGUGGGGAGCAAACAGG